rnacentral:lncRNA from 1 species
GCCACAUCGGAUACAUGCUACAGUGAAAGAGGGCAUCAAGGAGCACAUUCUAUCUUUCCCAAGAACCCAGAACCACUACUCACGGAUGAAGGGGGAUGUACACAGAGAAUACCUCAGCCCUGAUCUGAAUUUGUUGCGAAUGUACCGACUCUACAAAGAGAAUAAUACCACAUCAUCUGCAAAAUUCUGGGUUUAUAGGGACAUUUUCAAACAGCAGAGUCUCAAUUUCGGCCAACCCAGGAGUGACACCUGUGGCAAAUGUGACGCAUUCUUCACUAAGAUGUCAGCAGCAACAUCUGAAGAGGAGAAGAGGAAGAUUGCAGUUGAAAGUGAGUUACACCAUCGAAAAGCCGAAAAGGCCUACACACAGCUUCAAAGUGACACUGAGUGGGCUAAAGCCAAUGCUGACUGCCAUGUCAUUUCUGUGGAUCUACAGGGGGUGAUGUACACCCCUAAUCUGACCCACUCCAAUGUCUACUACCAGCGGCAGCUGUCAAAUUUUAACUUUUGCAUCCAGGAACUUGGAAAAGAAGAUCCUGCAUACAUGUGUGAUUGGCAUGAGGGGAUUGCACACCGAGGGUCCAUUGAGGUGGCAAGCUGCAUAAUGAAGUGGGUGAAGACAAAAUUCACGCCACUCACCAAACCAGAGGUGCGCAAGUUGAUCAUAUUCAGUGACAGAUGCUGUGGGCAGAAUAACAACUGGCGGAUGCUCAAUCUGAUGUCGAUGCUCGUCUCUAUGGGUUACUUUACCCAAGUUGAGCAGAAGUUCAUGGUCUCUGGUCAUUCUUUUCUUCCUUGUGAUCGAUCUUUUGCCACCAUCGAGAAGAGGCGCAAGGUGUCAGUCCUUCAUACACCUGAUGAUGUUUCAAAGAUGAUACUUGAAGCACAACCAGCAAAACCAUUAAAGAUGAGGAUGCAAUGUGAAGACUUCAGGCACCUCCCAGAUUCUGUCCUCAAGCGACCAGCUGGACUACAGAUCACCUCAGUGAGGUGGUUAAAAAAGUCACAGUUGAGGAUCCUUGGAAUCUGUACGCCAAACAGAGCCACAGUCUAUUUGAGGGAUGGAAGUCGUGGCUGA